UGUUCUUGCAUUUUAGUAGUAUUUUUAAUCCGUUGUUGAGUUUUUAGAGUAGUUCAUAAUAAAUUAUUGAAUACAAUUAAGUACUAAAAAAUCGCUUUUUGUAUUUUGAAAGGAUCCUCGUUCCGCGCAGCUGCACCUUUGGCUCAUUCCCAGCCCGCAUGCUGUCAGUAGUCGAAUCAUGUCAUGCCACCAAUUGAUGAUCCCACAAGAGUCCUAAAUGAAAUUAAACGCAACCAGCAUAACUAAGCUACCAGUAGCCGCCAAACUGGCACAGGAGCAGCCCAAAAACUACCCCAAUGCGUAUACCCCCGUCCAAAUCCCAAACCAAGUGCUUUGUUAUCUGUUCCUUGAGAAAACAAUUGGGUGAACGAACACCUUUCUCGGGGAGAUUUUCGCCAAAGUAGCAAUAGACCAAAAGAAACCCCCAGGAGCGUGAGAAAGCGAACCAGCGAAAUCUUGACUAAUUACUAUGCACUCAACUGGUAGCUCUAGAUCAGCUCGGUUCCCACAAGCCGGGGGUGACUUAACCCGGUAACCCUCCACCGAGAAUCGGAAUCCCGGAGCCAAGAAGCAAUGCGAUCGCGGGGACAUACCAGCAUAAAAAUGAAAUAAGCAUUUUCAAUUCGAUUCAUUCAGUUCCUUGGGCCUAACCCUCGUUUUAUUAUUGUUAUGGCCCAGCGGCACGCACCCGGUUCUUGCUUCCCAGUAUCCAGAAUCGAACCCCCACCCAAUGUGUUAAAUUCCCCCUCUGCCGGCACGCCUGCGUCAUGCGAAAGUAUUCCAUGGUGGUGUUACGGUGGUGGGUUUUCCACUUGGCACAGUAUAAAAGACCGAUCCGAUCGACAUUGCGGCACAGUCCAGUGAAAAGUGCCAUUGAGUUACGACCUCGGUCCCAAGAUCGCUGAGCCGCCACCGUUGCUGUGGCGGCCUUGGCCGUUGCUUAAAGUUCAAUUAAAAGUAAUUAAAUCUUCUACAAGUUUAAGUCACGCCCAUGGAGAUCUAAAUACAACUAUACUAAGUACAACUUUUAAUGCACUGAGCAAUAGUACAAUACAAACAAACAGUCAGAAAUAUUUAAAGACUUAAAUAUUCUUCAUCUGAAAAUUAAAAGAAACCAGAAACUAAAAUGCAACUGGUAUUCGAUUUAUAUCAAUAAUCAAGAAACUCAAUUCCAAAAUAUACAUGCUUCAUAUAUGGAUGAUAUGGACAAAAGUAUAACAGGAACUAAAAUGCAACUGGUGUUCAAGUUAAUCAAGAAACGCAGUUCAAAAAUACUAUAUAAUUGACGAAUAAAUAAAUAAACAUAACAAGAUGACUUAAAUGACAUAAUA